CAGCCUCUAAAUUAAGCCCAGCUCUAAAAUGCAGCCCAACAUCAGCAUAAUUCCCCAAUACGACGUCGUACAUCAAUCCUCAGGUUCCCAAUUCAUCUUCUCCAAAGCUCCAAUCUUCAAAACCAUAGCCACCUUCUCCCCCCAAAUCUCCGCCGCCUACGUCGCCAUUGCCGCCACCGGAACCACCGUGUGUCACGACAUAAGCUUCUAAACGAAACGAACAAACAUCAACAAUGGGCCGACCUCCAUUCCUGGGGAUGAAUCUGAAUUUCCAUUUAGGCCACAAACCCCAGUAUCUAGGGAUUUCUUCAAGGGGAACGAACAGCUGCUGUCCAGGGAAGAGAGCGAUUCUUGCAUUAAUGCAGUCCGAUUCAAAGAUAGCAUCUUUGAGAUUUGCAAAGUUGAUGAGUUUGCAGGCUUCAAGAACGGCACGAUUCAGCAGCGAGAGAGUCGUGACGUUUGUGGGCUUUAGAGGAGGCAAAGACCACAGAAGGUGGCUGAUCUUUUGGCUUUUCCAGUGGUCAUCGUUGCAUUUUGUGGCCAUCGCCAGCAAUUUCUGCAAUGGGAAAGAGGAGGAAAGGAACCAUGAGCAACUUUGUUUCUAUUCAUCCAAACAGAUCAAAUAAAACCGCUGCAAAAAUGACAAGUUCAUCACGAGAGGAUUGAGAGAUAAAGAAAUUAUUAUUUUUAUUCAGAAUGAGAGCAAGCCAAGCCAAGCCGUAAGUGGUUCAUUCCUAAAAGGAUCAAUACGAAAUCGCCAUUUAGAAAUGAGGAGCCGCAAAAGAAGCAGUCAGUUUCUGGCAAAGGAAAAAAGGCGGUCGAGGUGGAUUUUAGUAGGCAGAAGGUUGGAGGCCUUGCCACAGGAGAGAUUUGGACUUUCAAUGUACUGUGCAUAUUGCUGAAACUAUAUUGUUGACUUUGUAACUACUGAAGUAGUAAAUACGUAUUCUUGGCUC